GGUAGCGUGGCCGAGUGGUCUAAGGCGUUGGAUUUAGGAUCCAGUCUUUUCGGGGGCGUGGGUUCGAAUCCCAUCGCUGCCA
rfam:Danio rerio chromosome 4, GRCz11 reference primary assembly.